CUGCACCGGCGGACCGCGUGCGAAUCCCCCUUCACCUCCACCGUAUGACGACAACGCCCAGGCCGCCGCCCCAUCAUUCAACCUCUAUCCAGACCUCACGGCAAAGGAGGCACCCGCUAACAGCGCAACAGGGGUUAUGGCAGUCCGGCGUACGUUUUCCGUGCUUGGAGACCCAGUGACAUUAAGGACAUAGCAGAAUGUCUCCCGGACCCAUCUGCAGUGGGAGGGGAAUCCCUCGCUACAGCCAUUCUGGAAAUGGCCCAUCACCCAUCGGCGAACCACGCCAAGUCAAACUGGGCCUACGGUGGGGUCGUAUUCAAGGCGACAUUCCCAGGAGAGACCAAGCUGAUAUAAUGUUCGUGGAGGCGCCGGACGGCAAGGACGACCACAGGAAAGUGGGGAAGCACAGAGGAAGGCCUUCUUUCGUUGUGGCGUCAUGGAUCCCUUGAUUCAACGAUUCUCCCAAAAGAAUCGACAAAGACAAUGGAAGGGCCGGCUGGCAGUUCGCACCUUCCCGUGAAGUGACUGUGAAUCAUCCAAGAGGCAGAGGUGGAAGGGGGCAUUCGCAUUGACGGGACGCAGGAGCAGGCCAGGUCCAAGGAGGAGCCCGACCAGUGGCCCAAUACAGUGCAAAUACCCCACGUCACGACUCCUCUUCAUCAGACUUUAUGAAGUUACAGACCAUGGGAGGCCCACCUGAAGAGCUACGGAACGGUCUGCUGGACGACACAAGGAGACAGUCCAGCAGGACCAACAGCACCAGAGUGGUGGCCUCCAUGGUGCCUGUGUAGCCACAAGGAAGUGGCCUGAACAAAGAGACAAAGGAGGGUCUCAGAGACGGGAGAGACGUGGGGACAGGCACUUCAAAGGACAGCCCAUGAUGCGGAUGAGAGGCAGGAAGCAGAGAGAGAGGUGGAGGCGUGUCCAGGCGGAGGGAGAGAAGAGCAGUAAUUGAUCCACGCAACCAUUGUGCGUACCACCCUCGGAGUGGUGGGACAGUAGAGAGGGAGAGUGGUCCCGUAGAGAACAACGUCUACGGGACAACAAGCCAAGGCAACUGCAGAUACAGCCCAAGGAAGGGCAACUCAACGAUACAUGGAUUACUAUCGAAGACGUGCCUGGAAUUCACCAAGGUGGUUGUAAUCAUUCCAAGUCCUGUGGAUCACAG
ensembl:lncRNA